GACGAACGCUGGCGGCGUGCUUAACACAUGCAAGUCGAACGGAAAGGCCCUGCUUUUGUGGGGUGCUCGAGUGGCGAACGGGUGAGUAACACGUGAGUAACCUGCCCUUGACUUUGGGAUAACUUCAGGAAACUGGGGCUAAUACCGGAUAGGAGCUCCUGCUGCAGGGUGGGGGUUGGAAAGUUUCGGCGGUUGGGGAUGGACUCGCGGCUUAUCAGCUUGUUGGUGGGGUAGUGGCUUACCAAGGCUUGGACGGGUAGCCGGCCUGAGAGGGUGACCGGCCACAUUGGGACUGAGAUACGGCCCAGACUCCUACGGGAGGCAGCAGUGGGGAAUAUUGCACAAUGGGCGGAAGCCUGAUGCAGCAACGCCGCGUGCGGGAUGACGGCCUUCGGGUUGUAAACCGCUUUCGCCUGUGACGAAGCGUGAGUGACGGUAAUGGGUAAAGAAGCACCGGCUAACUACGUG
rnacentral:rRNA from 1 species